AGCAUGGUGGUGGCAGCAUCAUGCUUUGGUCUUCAGAUGGAACUGGGGAACUUUGUCAAGAGGGAAUUAUGAACAGUUCCAAGUAGGAGUCAGUGUUCUAGCACACCGUCAGGCUUCUGCUAAAAAGAAAGAAAAACAUGUCAGGAAAAGCCUCCUCGAACAUCGUAACUUUAUUUGGCGUUAAACAUUUAAAAUGUGCGUUCUCGCAUUUAACAUAAUCGUGAAUGCUAUUGGUUAACUGUGAACACGUCCGCAUGUCCUGUUCGAUUGUGAACACACCCUCAACUCACAUGACGGGGGCAAAAACGCUGAUGCGUUAUGACAGACGAUGCUCGAUGGAUCUGCCGUGAUGACUCCGCAACGGACAUGAUUGGCUUGAGGCCGCACGCUGAUGGUGGAGCUGAAAAUAAAAUGCAUUUCCUGCUGACACGCUGCUUACACAGAGGAAAAGCGGACGUGGCUGAGGAUGGGGAAAGGGUGCGUGAAGUAGGACGCUAAAGCCACGACCCCAGUACGUACAUUGCGCCGGGGUGUUUUUUUUUAUUUUAAAAUUUUUAAAAAAAAAUUUAAAUCGCUUGACUGACUGGGAGCAUUUCCGGGGUGUGCAUUGUGCAAAACAACAUCGCUUUGGCUAAAUGUCAUCUACGAAGAGACCCUUACGAAGCACAGUUUAAACGUCAAGCUAUCAGUUACGCGGAGGAACAUGGGAAUCGAGCAGCUGCGAGAUCAGAUCAAGGUCGACGAAUCCAUGGUUCGCAAGUGGAGGAAGCAGGAAAACGAGCUUCGCCAAGUCAAGAAGACGAAGCUGAGAAAAGAAAACCAAAACGCGCAAACGAGGCGAGGUGGCCCGAGUUGGAAGACCAACUCGAGCAAUGGAUUAAAUGAGCAAAGAACAGCCGGGAGAAGCGUCUCUACAGUCGCCAUUCCACUGAGUGCAAUAACUCGGAACUCGCCAUCAUUCCGGGAGGCUUGACGAACCGCUGGACAUCCGUGUAAACAGGGCGUUCAAAGUGAAGUCGCGAGCGGCGUGGGAGCCAUGGAAGACAGAUGGCGAACACAGCUUUACUAAGACAGGGAGGCAACGCCGGGCGAGUUACGCCACCAUACGUGAGUGGAUUGUGGAUGCUUGGGCUAACGUAUCUGCUUUUGAAGCACAUACGAGCUUUCGUGAAAGCAGGCAUCAUUGCUGAACGGCCCACCCGGCAACGAGACUAACUCCGACAAUGACGAGGGGGAACCCGGCGUGUUUGUUGGAGAACUUGCCCAGCUGUUCACUUCGGAUACAGAAGAUGAGGACUUUGAUGGAUUUGUGGAUGAGGAUUGAUCAAAACAUAACGAAUGACUAUUUUAGACAUGGCGACCUCGGCGCAAGGCUCACAUUUCACGCCAAUUUCAAUGUUGAAAAGCCUCCAACGUCUCAGUCAAAGGUCUGAACACGCCGUGGGCAAAGAGCCACGCCUCCUGCAACUGUCGAUUAUUAUCGCGUGUGGGGGUGUCACGUGUGUCACCAUCCUGUCAGCUGGUCAUAACGUAGGAAACAAGUUGUGCGUCAUUGCUCGAACCGCAUGCCUUUCGAAGCAGGUCACUCAUCUGCAUAACACCCAAAAGGUGGACUCUCUGCCAAUUAUAAGGACAAUGAAGACAGUGUGCAAAAGUACUGAGUGAAAAGCUACAGAUGCUCCAUCACACGCUUGCCUAACUCAGCCGCCCAAAUAUAUGAGCUGUCACUGUCACCAUGAGCCCCUCUUGAGUCUGCGGGACGUGUGUUUGUGCGUGUUUCUGCUCGUGUAUCAACGCCCACCACUUGGAAAAGUUGGAACUUUGCGGUAAAUUUUGUAAUUUGGGCCACAACAUGGUGACCGCUUGUAUAGUCUAAUGUGAUGCAAUGCUAGAGCUGUUGCAUUGCGUUUACAAAGGUGAAAAAUGUGUUAUUUGCGUGUAUGUACAGUAUACACACUACAUAUUAACAACUGUCUUGUGUGUGUGUGGAUGUAAAUAUCCUGCCAGUAAAAGUCGCCAAUAAAGGAGGUAGGUUUUGCUUAACUACGUGUGGUUGCUGGGCUAAUUUUGACUGGUUUCCUUGACAACCAAAUGUGACACCACAGCCAUUUCCUUAUCUGCAUUGUUGGUGAUUAAGCCACAGUCUUGUUAGUGUGAUUUAUGAGGAACGAGAGGAAAAAAGGGGCCUCAUUUAGCUCCGUUUGACUGUAGUCAGGGAAAGUACAGAUUUAAAUGUUUUUUUGACCUUCACUUUAUCUGCUCUCGGGUUCAUUCUGCAACCAGUCACUUGUUUCAACCACAUGCCUGUUGUUGAUUUGAAUGUAUUUAAUCUGAGUGUGUGUUUACGUGUGGAGAUGAAGUCAUUUUGACAGCGUGAGUAAAGCCAGAUGUGCUGAAGAAGGACAAUGUGCUGAAUAUAGACACACUGGACUGAACGAACCCCCUUUCGGGUUGUGCCCCAACUAUAUAUUACUAUAAAAUGGAUGAACUAUACUUUCUAUGAGCAAUUUCAAAGAUAAGAUCCGACACAAAGGGUGUGGGGAAUCAUAAUUCAAAUUGGAGAUUUACAUUAAAACAGAUUAGACGUUUUGCUGAGCUAAAGGAAAACACACAACUAAAUUAGAACAAUGUGUGUGGACCUUUCAUGUGAUAUGAUUGAAAAUCAACAGGGUUGCUUUACUACACU